UACGUAGGGUCCGAGCGUUGUCCGGAAUUAUUGGGCGUAAAGGGCUCGUAGGCGGUCUGUCGCGUCGGGAGUGAAAACUUACAGCUUAACUGUGAGCGUGCUUCCGAUACGGGCAGACUUGAGGUAUUCAGGGGAGAACGGAAUUCCUGGUGUAGCGGUGAAAUGCGCAGAUAUCAGGAGGAACACCGGUGGCGAAGGCGGUUCUCUGGGAAUAUCCUGACGCUGAGGAGCGAAAGUGUGGGUAGCAAACAGG
rnacentral:rRNA from 1 species